rnacentral:rRNA from 1 species
AAUAGAUACCCAGGUAGUCCACGCCGUAAACGAUGAGUGCUAAGUGUUAGAGGGUUUCCGCCCUUUAGUGCUGCAGCAAACGCAUUAAGCACUCCGCCUGGGGAGUACGGCCGCAAGGCUGAAACUCAAAGGAAUUGACGGGGGCCCGCACAAGCGGUGGAGCAUGUGGUUUAAUUCGAAGCAACGCGAAGAACCUUACCAGGUCUUGACAUCCUCUGACAAUCCUAGAGAUAGGACUUUCCCCUUCGGGGGACAGAGUGACAGGUGGUGCAUGGUUGUCGUCAGCUCGUGUCGUGAGAUGUUGGGUUAAGUCCCGCAACAAGCGCAACCCUUGAUCUUAGUUGCCAGCAUUCAGUUGGGCACUCUAAGGUGACUGCCGGUGACAAACCGGAGGAAGGUGGGGAUGACGUCAAAUCAUCAUGCCCCUUAUGACCUGGGCUACACACGUGCUACAAUGGAUGGUACAAAGGGCUGCAAGACCGCGAGGUUUAAGCCAAUCCCAUAAAACCAUUCUCAGUUCGGAUUGCAGG